rnacentral:rRNA from 1 species
AUUGAACGCUGGCGGCAGGCUUAACACAUGCAAGUCGAGCGGGGUGAUGGUGCUUGCACUAUCACUUAGCGGCGGACGGGUGAGUAAUGCUUAGGAAUCUACCUAUUAGUGGGGGACAACAUCUCGAAAGGGAUGCUAAUACCGCAUACGUCCUACGGGAGAAAGCAGGGGAUCACUUGUGACCUUGCGCUACUAGAUGAGCCUAAGUCGGAUUAGCUAGUUGGUGGGGUAAAGGCCUACCAAGGCGACGAUCUGUAGCGGGUCGGAGAGGAUGAUCCGCCACACUGGGACUGAGCCACGGCCCAGACUCCUCCGGGAGGCAGCGGUGGGGAAUAUUGGACAAUGGGGGGAACCCUGAUCCAGCCAUGCCGCGUGUGUGAAGAAGGCCUUAUGGUUGUAAAGCACUUUAAGCGAGGAGGAGGCUCUUUUGGUUAAUACCCAAGAUGAGUGGACGUUACUCGCAGAAUAAGCACCGGCUAACUCUGUGCCAGCCGCCGCCGCGG